rnacentral:rRNA from 1 species
UACAGAGGGGGCAAGCGUUGUUCGGAAUUACUGGGCGUAAAGGGCGCGUAGGCGGCCUGUUAAGUCGAACGUGAAAUCCCCGGGCUCAACCCGGGAACUGCGUCCGAUACUGGCAGGCUUGAAUCCGGGAGAGGGAUGCGGAAUUCCAGGUGUAGCGGUGAAAUGCGUAGAUAUCGGGAGGAACACCGGUGGCGAAGGCGGCGAUCUGGGUAGAUACUGACGCUGAGGUGCGAAAGCGUGGGGAGCAAACAGG